GUCCCACGUUCGGAUUGUAGUCUGCAACCCGACCUACAUGAAGCUGGAAUCGCUAGUAAUCGCAGGUCAGCAUACUGCGGUGAAUACGUUCCCGGGUCUUGUACACACCGCCCGUCACACCACGGAAGUUGGGGGCGCCCGAAGCCACUUAGCUAACCCAUUUGGGAAGCGAGUGUCGAAGGUGAAAUCAAUAACUGGGGUGAAGUCGUAACAAGGUAAC
rnacentral:rRNA from 1 species